rnacentral:rRNA from 1 species
CCUACGGGAGGCAGCAGUGAGGAAUAUUGGUCAAUGGCCGAGAGCCUGAACCAGCCAAGUCGCGUGAGGGAAGACGGCCCUACGGGUUGUAAACCUCUUUUGUCGGGGAGCAAAGCGAGUCAUGUGUGACUCAUUGAGAGUACCCGACGAAAAAGCAUCGGCAAACUCCGUGCCAGCAUCCGCGGUAAUAUGGGGGAUGCGAGGGUUAUCCGGAUUUAUUGGGUUAAAAGGGUGCGCAGGCGUAGGUGCAAGUCAGCGGUCAAAUUGCGGGGCUCAACCCCGUACUGCCGUUGAAACUGCAGACCUUGAGUGCGUGAGAGGUAUGCGGAAUGCGUGGUGUAGCGGUGAA